CCAGAACUCUCAAGGAACCUGUGGCUCUACUCUUCCCUUUGAGUUAGUGCCUGAGAGCACAAGGCACACUCAGCAAAACGGGAAAGGGAAAGAAGCGCCCGCCAGGAGCAGAUGGAGGAAGAGCAGCAGACCUCAAGUUCUACCGCAUGGUGGCAGCAAGUGCCCGGUCAUCUGAAGGUUCUACUUCACCCCGGGAGACCACAGCAUCUGUAGAAAUUGUCAGCCAGUGAGGCGCGUCUAGAUUUCCAACCUCCUCUAUCUGUCCAAAGAACGUAUAGGAAGUGAAGACCAGCUGUCAAAUCAUUGAAAAGGACUUUAGGACUUUAAACUGUCCUUGCUUAGCCUCAAUUGUCCUAUCUUUAUAAUGGACAUAUUAAUAUUCCUUCAAAAUAUAUGACAUCAUUUGAAAACUGGCUGCAAAAUAAUUUAAAAGGAAAGGUUCCAAAUGCUUCAGAAACAAACUAUGGGGAAGACUUUUUGAGGUACUGGCCACGUCGCACACAGGCCCAGGGGUGUCUGGAGGCACACAGGAGAUGAAAGCAGUUUGCUGAGAAAGGGUUAGCAUCUGCGCCUGGAAGAGACGC
rnacentral:lncRNA from 12 species